ensembl:lncRNA GBA1LP glucosylceramidase beta 1 like, pseudogene
CUUGACUUCCGCGCCUAGUGCGCAGGGCCCCAUUCUCCAGUCCCGCCCACGCGCCUUUGGAGGCUGCGGUGGGAUUUCCUUUUGCCUUCGGUUGGGGCUGCUGUUUCUCUUCGCCGACGGUGCCUUCAGCCGCUACAAGAGCAGAAGCAGUGGGCAUUGGAUGGAGCUGAGUACAGGACCAUACAGGCUAAUUGCACCGGCACAGGAAUCGGAUAUAACAUCAUCUGGGUACCCAUGGCCAGCUGUGACUUCUCCAUCCGCACCUACACCUAUGCAGACACCCCUGAUGAUUUCCAGUUGCACAACUUCAGCCUCCCAGAGGAAGAUACCAAGCUCAAGAUACCCCUGAUUCACCGAGCCCUGCAGUUGGCCCAGCGUCCCGUUUCACUCCUUGCCAGCCCCUGGACAUCACCCACUCGGCUCAAGACCAGGGGAGCGGGGAAUGGGAAGGGGCCACUCAAGGGACAGCCCAGAGACAUCUACCACCAGACCUGGGCCAGAUACAUUGUGAAGUUCCUGGAUGCCUAUGCUGAGCACAAGUUACAGUUCUGGGCAGUGACAGCUGAAAAUGAGCCUUCUGCUGGGCUGUUGAGUGGAUACCCCUUCCAGUGCCUGGGCUUCACCCCUGAACAUCAGCGAGACUUCAUUGCCCGUGACCUAGGUCCUACCCUUGCCAACGGUACUCACCACAAUGUCCGCCUACUCAUGCUGGAUGACCAACGCUUGCUGCUGCCCCACUGGGCAAAGGUGGUACUGACAGACCCAGAAGCAGCUAAAGGCCUGUGUGGGUUCCAAGUUCUGGGAGCAGAGUGUGCGGCUAGGCUCCUGGGAUCGAGGGAUGCAGUACAGCCACAGCAUCAUCACAAACCUCCUGUACCAUGUGGUCGGCUGGACCGACUGGAACCCAUCAUUGUAGACAUCACCAAGCACACGUUUUACAAACAGCCCAUGUUCUACCACCUUGGCCACUUCAGCAAGUUCAUUCCUGAGGGCUCCCAGAGAGUGGGGCUGGUUGCCAGUCAGAAGAACGACCCGGACGCAGUGGCACUGAUGCAUCCCGAUGGCUCUGCUGUUGUGGUCGUGCUAAACCGCUCCUCUAAGGAUGUGCCUCUUACCAUCAAGGAUCCUGCUGUGGGCUUCCUGGAGACAAUCUCACCUGGCUACUCCAUUCACACCUACCUGUGGCGUCGCCAGUGAUGGAGCAGAUACUCAAGGAGGCACUGGGCUCAGCCUGGGCAUUAAAGGGACAGAGUCAGCUCA